CUCAUUUUAUCCUCACAACGAUGCUAGGAGGUAGGUGUUAUUAUUAUCUUUAUUUUAUAGAUGAGUAAACUGACACAGAGAGGUCAAGUGACAAAGUUGGCCAGAUUUAAACUUGGAUCUUCCUGACUCCAGGUCCAAAGCUCUACCCAGGGGGGCACCAGCUGCCUCUUAAGAAACGGAGCAUCACUGGUCACUAAUUUAACUAGUAUGUUGGGAUUCAAUUAGCCAAGUAAUGGAUUACGCCAAUUGUCAAGUCUUGUCCAGAAAGAGAGCCUUUAGUUCAUCCCCUUGGAAGGAGCCCUCACUCAUAUCCCGAGUCCCCAUCAAUCUCUAAAUUGGGACCUUAUCAUGUCCUAAGUGGCACAGUGGAAAUAGCACUGGGCCUGGAGUAAGGAAGCUAGCUAUGUGAUCUCAGGUAAGUCACUUAACCUCUCCCAACCUCAGUUUCUUCAUCUGUAAAAUAGGGAUAAAAUAGAACUGACUUCUCGGGGUUGUAAGGAUCAAGUAACACUGGUAAAGUGCAUUAGAAUUAUUUAUACACAUAGCUUAUGCCCCCUCCACUCUUCCAUCGUCAGUUCUUUGAGUACAGAGACUAUAUGUCUUAUGUUCUCUUUUAUCUUCAAGCUCAGAGUGCAGAUGGAUCCCCAACGCUGUGCAGAAUAUGCCAGUCCAAGCCUAGGCUUUCAGAAUUUAGGGAUGGCCCAGGCCAAUUCCCAGGGUCACCCCUGGUCACCUACGUAGGUCGUAGAGUACGUCCAGGAGCACCCACGGGCUAUCAUGAGGUCACAGAGGAACACAGCUACAGAGUUGUAAACACUCAGUCCCUUUCCUGCCGCAAUGGGGUACAGGACGAAGCCCAGCUUCCUCCAACUCCCCAACUGGAAAAGUACUCCGGAGAGGAAAUCUUGUUCCUACAAACCCUAAAGUCAGCCUGUAUGGGGGAAACCAAUGGCAUGGGGCAAGAGGAGCGUGCAUACAGUACUAGCUGGCUAAAGCCCCGUCUGCUCUACUGCGUACUUUCCAAAUCUGUGAGUCACCACCUAUGGCAGCAGCUGGAGGUAGUGUGGAAGGAUCUCCAAAGCGGAAGGGACCGGGACCCACACACACUUUUUGACGCAGGGGAGGGUUCUGGUCACACUCAUGCACACCUGGAGAAAUCACCGAGCGCUUCAAGGAGCAAACCUUCGCUACAGAGCCAGGCCUUGGGGCAGCAUCUCCCCCAGAGCCACAGGGGGUCGGUCCAUGGGUCCCACAGACACUCAGAGCCCGGCCACUCUGCCUCCGCCAGGGGUCUCUCCACCCCACGAGUUCCCCCCCGGGAAUUCAAGGGACCUACCUGUGCUGCCUCAACCUUGGCCAUGGCCCAGGCAGGAGCUGCCUCCUUAGGUUGCUCUAAACCGUGGAGUAGCCUUGGGCAAUAAUGCCUCCUAAGAAGCAGCCUGGAAGACGUCCAGGAGUUCUCUUCCCCCCUCUCACCUUCCAGGCUGGAGAGUCUACAGAUAAAGGGGGAAAGGAAAGUAAAUGUGGGUUCGGGAGGGGCAGGGGCUAGUUCCUGGGACUACUGCGCAUGUCCACAUCACCCUCCCCUUCUUACCAGGGCUGGAAGAGGGGGAGAACUGGGGGGGGGGCGGAGAGGGCGGGGUGGAGAAGGGGUUGGAAAGCAGAAGGAAAAGGGAGAGGGGGUGCUUGGAAGCGCCCUGCUUUCUAGAUAAAUGGCCUUUAGGUCAAGGAAAGAACCCACCAGGACCCCUCUUCCUUUCUUCUGGGUGCCCUGCACAUAAUAGGUACUCAAGAAAUAGCUGAUUCCUUAAGAGGUUCUGUUUCCCAGAGCGCCACUGUCACUCAAUCACACAGCUUAGUGCCUGGUCUUGAAGGAAAACUUGGGGUAUCCCUGGGUAACGGGAGAGCAGAUGAGACUCACAGGAGUGGGGCAGGUGAACAGAAUGGAAGAAGAACUCCCAAGGUUUCUGGAAGUGGAGCUAGACUGUUAGGCUGCCGGCAUUAGGAGAGCUGCUCUAGUCGGGGCAUUGCGAGGUGGGGUUACUCGGGAACUCCCAGGGUAGCAGUCAAGUCACCUCACCUCUCUAGCAAAGACUCACUUCGCUUCUAUUUUGUUAUUAGCACUUCAAAGCUGCUCUGAUGUCAGUACCCACCCUAGAGAGAGGUACCUAAAAGCGGGGAAAUCAAGUAGGGGGAAAAAAAGAAAUAACAAAUGAACUAAAAGCUGGUUCUUUGAAAAGACUAACAAAAUUGAUGUAGGCUUAGCAAAUUUAAUUUUUAAAGAGUAGCAAGUCAAUAAAAUUACAAAGGAGUAAAAUGAAAUCACAACAAAACAAAAAAGGAAAUAAAAUAGAAUAAUAGAAUAGAAAUAAUAUAGAAAUAAAAAAGAAUAAUCAGAAUAUAUUAUGCAAAGUUAUAUGCUAAUCCAAUAGAGAGCACAAAAGAAGUAGAGGAAUACUUUCAAAAAUAUAAAAUAUUCAAAUUAUCAGAAGAAAAUAUAGACAUCUUAAGCAAUCUGAUCUCAGACAUAGAAAUCAAACUAAUUGUAAAGAUACUAUCCAUAAAAAAAAAAGUCCAGGUCCUGAUAGAUUCUAAGAGAAUUUUAAUAAACUUUUAAAGAACCAUCAGUACCAAUACUUCACAACUUAUUCUUAAAACUGGAAAAAGAAAAAACCCUAUCAGAACCCUUUUAUGAGACAAAUAUAGUCAAUACCUUAGCCAAGGAAAGAUAAAACAUGCAAAGAAAGUAGUGUCAAUAUCAUUAAUGUACAUUAACUCAAAAAUUUUAAGCAAAAUCCUAUAAAACAGACUAUACUAAUUUGUCUGAAAAAUCAUUCAUUAUGAUCAAGUAGAAUAUUUAACAGGGAUACAAGAAUAAUUUGACAUUAGGGAAACAAUCAACAUAAUUAAUCAUAUUCAAAACCAUAUCAUCAACUCAAUAGUCAGAAAAAAGACAGUGAAAAAGUACAUUAUUCUCAUGCUAAAAACCCUACAACAUAUAGGCAGAGAGUCUGUCAUAAAAAACACCUAUUUAAUAAUAGCUAACAUUUAUAUAGUGCUUGCCAAGUGCUCUCUAAAUAUUAUUUCAGUUCAUCUUCACAAUCCUGGGAGGUAAGUAGGUGCUAUAUUAUCACUAUUUUAGAGAUGAAGAAAUUGAGGCAAACAGAUUUCAAGACUUGUCCAGGGUCACACAGCUAUUAAGUGUCUGAGGUCAUAUCUGAACUCAGCUCUCUGACUUCAGGAACAGUGCUCUACUGGCUGUACCACCUCACAUACCUGCUACAAACCAAAAAGCAAUCAUAUGCAAUGAUACACUAGAACCAUUUUCUUUUCUUUUUUUUAAAUCCUCACCUUUGGUCUUAGAAUCAAUACUGAGUAUUGGUUUCAGGGCAAGAAGAGUAAAGGACUAUACAAUUGAGGUCAUAUGACUUGUACAGGGUCACACAGGAAGUGUCUGAAGCCAGUUGGUGGAACUGUGAACUGAUCCAACCAUUUUGGAGAGCAAUCUGGAAUUAUUCCCCAAAACUUUGUAUACCUUUUGACCCAACAGUACCACUAUUUGGUUUAUUUUCUAAGGUGAUCAAGAAAAAGGGAGAGAAUCUACAUGUUCUAAAAUAUUUAUAACAGCUCUCUUUUUGGUAACAAAGAACUGGGAAUUGAGAGGAUGCCCAUUAAUUGGGAAAUAGCUAGAAAAAUUGUGGCACAUGACUGUGAUAGAAUUCUACUGCCCUAUAAGAAAUGAUAAGCAGAUUAACUUUUUAAAACAUGGACAGAUUUACAUGAAAAUAUGGAGUGAAAUGAGUAGAACCAAGAGAAUAUUAUAUGCAGAAACAGAAAUAUUUCAAGAAUGCCUUGUGUUUGUCCACUUCUAGAGAAAGAACUGACAGUAAGAAACAAGCAAAACAUAUUUUUAUAUACACAUAUAUCUUUUUGUCAAAUGAUACCUUCUCCAGUGGAGGGAGAAGAAGGAACGAGGGAGUUGCCUGGGAAUUUUAAUGUAACAAACUAAAAGAAAGGGGAAAAAAAUACAAAUCCAAACAAAGCUGAGGCUUCACCUCAAUAUCCUGAAAAUUGGCCAAAAUGACCAAAGAAUGAAAUGCCAAUCAUACACAUUAGGAGGCUGUGUAAACUCAUUACACACUGCUAAUGGAGCUUUGAACAUUUUGGAAAAUGAUUUGAAGUUCUGCAAAUAAAGUAACUAAAAUGUCCCUACCCUUUGAAUCAGGGAUGUCAUUACUGGGAUUAUUCCACAAAGAUGCCAUUGAUAAGAAAAAAGUCACUAUAUAUUCUAAAAUAUUUAUAAUAGUAAUUUUUAUGAUAGCUAAUCAUCAGAAUAAAGUAGAUUCUCAUAACUGGUGAAUGGCUAGACAAAUUUUGGAAUGAGUAUAAUGGAACAGUUCUAGGCUGUAAGAAAUUAUGUGGGAAAGGAGAUAGAAUAAGCAAAUUAGAACAGGGAGCAUACUACCUAUCAGAUUUAAGGAUAGGAGAGGAAUUGGAAUAAAAAAGAGAUGGAGAGUAUUGUGAGGUGUAAAAUGGACAGUUUUGAUUACAUUAAAUUAAAAGGUUUCUGUACAAAUAAAACUAAUGUGGCCAAGAUUAGAUGGAAAGCAGAAAACUGGGGAGAACUUUUUAUAGACAAUUUCUCAGAGGUCUUUUAUUUAAAAUAUAGAGAACUUUGUCAAAUUUAUAAGGAUAAGAGCCAUCCUCCAAAUGGAUAAAAGAUAGGAAGAGUUUUGGAUAAAGAAAUCAAAGUUAUAUAUAGGUAUAUGAAAAAAUGCUCUAAAUCACUACUUAGAGGAAUGCAAAUCAAAAUGAUUCAGAGAUAUUGUCUUACACCUAUCAGAUUAGCUAAAAUGACAAAUGCUGGAACAGAUUUGGAAAAAUGGGGACAUUAAAUACACUGUUGGUGGAAAUGUGAACUGAUCCAACUAUUUUUGAGGAUGAUUUGGAAUUAUGCCUAAAGAGUUAUAAAACUGUGUAUAUCCUUAGGGCCAUUCCUGGCUCUAUUUCUCAAGGAGAUUAGGAUCCAAGAUAUUUAUAGUGGUUCUCUUUGUGGUGACAAAGAAAUGGAAAUUGAGGGGAUACCCAUAAUUUGGGGCAUGGUUGGACAAAAUGUGGUAUUUGAUUGUGAUAGUAUACUACUGUGCCAUAAGAAACAAUGACCAGGUUAAUUAAAAAAAAGUUGGAAAGAUCUAUAUGAAGUAAUGAAGAGUGAAACAAAUAGAAGAGAACAUUAUAUACAGCUAUUGAACUAUUAGUUGAAGAAUUUGUCAAUGUCCACCUUGAGAGAAUGACCUGAAAAACAGAAAUAUAUGAACAUAACUUUUUGUCAGAUGAUGCCUUCUUUGGUCUCAUUUGAGUCUCAGAUGAAGAGAUAGAAGACACCCCCAACCUAGCCUUUCCUGGAGAUAAGAGUUCCACAGGAAUUAAACACUGAACAUGUUUUCAGACUUUUUCAAUGUAUAAUUAUGCUGAUUUUUUUCUCUUCCCUCAAAAAAAGACUGUUUUAAAUAUGAGAUAGAUCUCUGUAAGGAGAAGCAGGAGGGAUCCAUGGGAUAUGAUGCUGAUAACAAAAAAUAUAUAAUAUAUAUAUAUACAUAUAUAUUAAUGAAAACUUAUUGUAAAAAAAAAAGAAAAUGAUGCCAGAAGUUAUAAGGAAGUUGGCAGUUGGCAUAAAGAACUAAAUAAAGGUAUAGAUCCUUGUAAAGUCAAAUAAGGAGGUGGUGGAAUUGGUUUUACCAUGUGUCCCAAAGGCAUCAAAAAACUUAUUUCAUGGUACACAUGGUCAUCUCACUUUGCAAUGUUUAUGGUGAGCAAAAAUACUAUCAUGGUGAUCAUUACAUUUUGUGCCCCAAGAUCUGUUCCAGAAGGUGAAAAGAUUGAGAAAUUCCACACGAAAACUUGGAAAGGUCCUUCAGACCAAGGAUACAUAUAUGGUAACUUAGACACGAAGGUGUGCACAGAGGAGGGCAGCAGAAAAUGUGUUUGAAAAUAUGCUUCAGGGCUUAGAAACAAAGGACCUAUAGAAACAAACCCAUUCAAUGACUGGUACAAAGUCAGAGCUGAAUUCAACAAACCUUUAUUAAGCAAACAACAUGUGGAAGGAAGAAGGAAGAUAGUGUGUGAUGAGAAAAUGGUACUCCCAGUGAGAUUAAGGCACUCAACUAAGACCAUAGGCAGAAUCUGAAUACCCACGUAGGGAAGGAGAUUUCUGCAUUGGGAGAAUAUUGGGCUAGAUGACCUUCUGGACUACAGAAUAUCUGGUACUGGACUCCAGGUCAGAGAAGCUAGUCCUAAUUUGUUGUUUGGCAGCUGUAUGGCCAUGGCAAACCUCUCUGCACCUCAAGUUUCUUCAUUUGGAAAAUCAGGCAGUUGGUCUAGGUAGUUUCCAAAGUCCUCAGUCUAUGAUCUAUAUUCCAUUUAUACAACACUGUUCGUAAAUUACAAAACAACCCUGCUCGCACCCUGAAGACUUAUGGGGCAAGCUGGUCAGUAAGAAAGAAGGGUGGAGGAGCAGGAGACACUAGCUGUCAUGACUGUCCUUGUUCAUUGAGAGUCGCCUGGAAAGGGAGGGCUGUUUGUUAGGAGAUCGUGAGCCGUGCUAAGGCAGAAGUGCGCAUGCGGGGAAAUUGGGGGCCUUACGGUAAGCAUAGAGAAGCCUUUCAGGGAGACAAAGAGAUGCAUUCUGGGAGAUGUAAUGUCGUAAGCAAGUGACUAGAGAACAGCGGGUCCGAGCCCGUGAUCAUACUCACCACCAAGACCGUGCUAUAAGGUGGGGGAAGAAGUGGGAAGGCGGCCUUGGUGGGUGGAAGAUGAGUCGAAAGAUGGCUACCAGUGCCAUCUCACAAAGUGAGAAUGAUGUCACUUCCUCUGAAGUGGAACAGGAAGUACUCCACCGGAAGGAGCAGUUGCUACGAACCGGUUGCUUAGGUAACAGCGGUCCAUCCUUUGUGAGACAGGCGGCUAGCAAAGGGGAGGAGGAGUUGGGGGACUAGUUGUUUUGUUCUUGGGACCUCGAUAAAGAAGGCGUCAUCUCUAUCUAUGAUAGUGCCCUGCAUGCGGCUCCCAGACUGCUCUUCCUUGAGGGGUCGGUGUUGGUGCCCCUUGCUUGUGCACCUCUUGUGCACCGCUUGUGCUAGAGGUCUAUGACUUUGGGACUGCUUUGCCUCCUCUGGGCCAUUUUCUCAAAUAUGGCGCUGGCCCUCCAAUCUCUUAGGUCCCUUCUUAAUAGCCCUGACGUAAGCAGCUCCAAGCCAUCGCCUCCCUGGAAGAGGCAGAGACCCCGCGUGGCAGUCAGGGACAAAAUGGCCUUCAAGACUUCUUGUCUGGGAAGAGAGGGAAUGUCAUACGUGGAAAUUUGAAUUUUGAAAUACCCAUGAUAAUAUUCACUGAAGAAUGGAAAGAAGAAUUAUUUAUGAUCGCAUCAAUGUGGAUAUUCUCUGGAUAUUACCUCUUUGGGAUCAAUUUCUUCAGGAGUUGGACUUAGAGAUUUCAGUCUUUUCUAGAUCAAAAUCCAAGAUGCUGUAGUACUUUCAACGAUAAAUAUUGCAACUCGUUUUUAAAAUUUUACAA